CAUGUUGGAGGAGUUCCAUCCUCACAGCUGAAUAACAAUAGUGAACCCAUUUACACUGGUCUUACAUAACCUCUUUCUGAGGAAUGCUUCACAGGGGACACUGGGACACAGCAGAAUGUGGAAACAUUUAAACAAGGAUCCAAGAGGCCCAUAUCUGGGAGCAGAGCAGGGUAUCCAGAAACUGGGUCACAGCUCAGCUUAAUUUAACCCCCAGUUGGUCCAAAUAAACAUCUGAGCUCAAAGACAGAGGUUCCAUCAGAACCUGUGGACAAGUUUUCCACCCAUACAGGGUAUAAAGGAGUUAAACAGAAUCAUUUAGUUGUCCAGAUGUGUUUUUUGGACAGCUGACUUAUGUGUAGCACACAUCUGUAAAACACAUGUACCAAUGUGACCAAAAAUCACUGCUUCAAACUCACUUGCCCAGCAGGGCGGCAUCAGUGCUAAUAGUGACCCACAUCCACACAUCAACAGGCUGCUGUGUGGGCGGGUGUGUUCUUAGACAGGACACCAAACUAUGUUGGCCAUCAUAGCAAGCCAUAACUGGGCCACCAGCAGAAAGUGAGGUGGAGAUUUGCUUCAGUGCUAUUGAUACAGAUGAUGUUUGGCUCCAUCUGCUGGUGAUUUGUUUACAAACGCUUCGACGCUAGAGGAAUGUACUAAUUUAUAUAUAUUUCUAUAAACUAAAAAAUAGUCUCCGUCAUGUGUGUAUUUGUUUUAGCAUAAGGGAGUUUGAUUUCUUCAGUCUACCAGCUGCAAAAGUUCUUUCAAUCGCCCCAGACAAAAUAAAUGCCAAGUACACUGAGAGCUCCCAAAAUAUCCUUCAUUCCUGUGAUGGAUUUAUGUCAUGCAAAAGUGAGCACCGAUAUUUCUGUCCUUCCCAGUUUUGCACUUAUCAAAGUUCCCUUGUACUUUUAAUUAUGAUUUCAUGUCUUUAAAUCUAUGAUCUAUGAAUCCAGGGAGAACAACUGUAGAAGAGGAGUGUCUCCAGAGACAGUGGACACGCCCGCCGGACCAUAAGGUCAUCACUGAGAUCUGACACUGACCUCAGGGUUUCUGCUGUCAUCAUUGCUUCGUCUGCCGUUGUCGGUUGUCUAGACUUCACUCUAAUCUUUACAUGGCAAAAAAUCAGAAGAUCGUCAGGCUUCACCAGGAGGAGACGCUGCACAGGUGCUGUCAGUUACACUACAAAAUCAUUUCUUUUUUUUGUAUUUAUCACUGAGAGAGAGCUGUAUUGUUGUUUUCAUGUUACAGUGACGUUGAACACAAUGAGACAAGAACAGGUGAGUGAAGACGACUCUGGGUGUUUCCUCUACAUGAGAUGGUGGUGUUUAAACAGACGUAUAUUUUUGUGUAAAAUGUCGUCACAUGUUAAAUCUGUCAGUGUGAAACCUGAGAGUUCACACUGGAGACACUGGUGAGCAGUCGAAAACUGGAGGACUGGAAAAGUGAUCCAGCUCCAUGUGAACCUGAGCUGCAGUGUCACGUUCAAAGAGAGUGGCGUAGUUGUCCUGAGGUUUCACCUGUAGCUGGAGAACAGUCUCAUCACUUUUAUUAAAUCCAGGGUGGCUGCAGUGACCGUACUGUCCCUGAUUACUGCUGUCAAAUACUGACAGCUUCUGGUACUUUCUAGGAUGGAAUCCUAGAGAAACAAAUGGUUCAUGUGGUUGAAAUUCUUGUUCCUACUAGUACUGUUCCCAUCAUCCUGGUACUGAUUCAUUUUGCUCUUCUUUUCUGUUUUUCUGUUCCCACAUGUUCACAGGGUUAAAUGCUGUAGCCACAGACAUGGACAGAAACACUGGACCUGCUGCAGAACCAGAACCAGAACAAAGUGAAACAACACAAUUCCCUAAGACAAGGUCUGGAGGUUCUUUUCUUACGGUAAAUCUCCCAUCAUCCUCUGUUCCGCCUGUACUUACUGUUGACUCACGGGACACGGUGACACAGUUCUCACAGUCAGCAGCAGCACUGUAACCUGAUCGCCGACCUUGUGUCCUCAGCACUCGGCCCUGAGCCCGGCUCAGAGACAGUACCUCCACACCGUCUCAGCCUCCUUCAGCUCUGCACACGUGCACGGCCUCAUCCUGCAGCACUACAGGAACGCGCUGCUCCGGUGGAAACCAACGGGUCAGUGCUGAGAUCGCUCAACAACAACAACUGCUCCCUGAGCCUGGACAGUUGUUGUUGUUGUUGGGAACUUUGAUUCCAGACUCCUUAUUGACAACAAAUCAUCCUCUUUUUUUUUUACUAAUUUCUCUGAUUUGUAGGUUUUAACCUAAGCACAGAGGAUCAGCCAGUGACCUCAUCUGAGAACCACAGUGAAAAACCUGCACCAAAUCGGCAACCUGACAUUUCUUCCACUGAAGUAAAGAAACGUAACAGGAAGACUAGCGGUGCAAGGAUUUCUGGGAAAUCCUCCAUUUCAAAACUCCAUACCAAGACAGUCGGGUGAGCAACAUAAGCGUAAAGGUCAAUAACAUUUGAUUAAAAUGUUCUAAUCUCUUUUAAACAACCGCCAACAAAAUAGUUCCCAAAAUAUAAUCAUUAAUAAAAACAUAUUUUAAAGUAAGAGCAGCUGUGGCUAGCUCUUAGCCUGAAGAUAAGUUAAAGUGAGCUGAAUCUAAGCCAAAAUAUAUUCAAGAAAUGCAAGCCAUAUUGUCAAAAGCUAACUGUAAAUAUGAUCAUACAUGCUAAAGUUUUAGGCUAUGUAUUUGUUUAGAUAAAAAGAUUGUAAAUUCAGCUUAAUGUUUGAGAAUUUUUUGAGUGAAUUUUCACAUUAACAUCUGGUGUAAUGUAAUUUAUUGUAUUAUAUAUAUUUUUAAAGAUCUGGAAAGACAUCGGCAUCUAAACAGAGGAAGACGAAGAAAAGUUUAGCGCCACCUACCCCCACAGGACAAAGUCUGAAGAGUGAGUGUGUGAGAAGUCUGUGCUGUGUCCUUAUUGAUCCAGUGACAGAGCAGCGGGUCAAAUGUUUCUCUGUGGUUCCAGAGUCCAGGAUCAGACAGACGGAUGAGGAAACGGAGAAUGAAGAAGAUGGCGAUGAUUUUCUGGAUGAGUGUCUGAGUUCACUGUCUGUGACGGAGUGGGACGACGAUACCUUCUCAGAUUUAUAACAUCUGAUUCUUUAUGUUCUUCUCCGGAGAGCACUGCUGUCGUUUUGAACUGUGGUUUUUGACAGACACAACAGACACGAGGGUCCAGGUGUAAACUGGUUGUUUCAGUCACGCAUCAGUUAAUCAGCCGUUUCUUAGUGGGGAGGGCGUACCACCCAGUGUUCCCAAGAGGUACUGCAGGUCCACAGCUGGCUCUCCUACCUCUCCAGUGCAGUGUAGGCUCCUGUCGCAGAACCUGGGUUGAUGUAGAACUUGUUCUCGUUCUCAAAAGCCUCAAACUUGUGUGUGUGUCCAGAGAUGAGGAUGUCCACGUCCAGCUGUCUCUGCAGCAGUGCUA